UCCUUCAAAUUCCGUUAAGGAGAAACGAAACUUCUUGGCCAAAAUCUCGUAUUAUUCGUUUGUAUGUUGUGUGUCAAUGUUCAUAUUUUCUAGUACUUUUAAUUUGCUACACCAUUUCAAAAUGAGGCAGGCAUUUGUGUUCACUCUAGUAAUUGUUUUAAUAUCUCAAUUCAAUAGGGACCAGGCAACGGAGUUGCUGAUUGAAUCAGCUGAGAGUCGAUUGUUGGACCUGAGAGUUGCUGGCUCCACUGACGUACAUAAUUCUUCGGAUGGUCCUCAUGAAAUCUGCAAACAACUACAUCAAGAUGGAUUUCAACUUUCAAUGAAUGCGAAUGGACCAAGCAUAAAAUCUUUAUGCGAUGGAUUUAAGAACAAGCAAGAAGGCAAGUGUAUAGUUGGCAGAUGCGAGUGCCCAGAAGAACGGCAAUUCUGCACAAACAACGCAGAUUCGAAGAAAAAAUUUCAGAAGCCCAUUAUUUAUAAUGAUCCUACAGAGCAAUUCGGAAAGACCAUGAAAGUACCUACAAAGAAAAGCAGCGCGUAUGAAAGUAACUCAGAACGUGAAAAAUCUGACUGGGUAAAAGAUGAGUAUAAAAGAUGGGCAAGAGAAACAUUUUGGUGUAUAUUGUUGCUUUUAUAUAUAAUCACUACAGCUAUUGGCGUCUUCGUUUAUUAUCCACACGAUUGGACUUCGCAGAUUCUCUUCUUUAUUGCGAAUCUUAUUCCUUUGAUAAGUUGUGAAACUGAAUACUACGAAUAUGCUGCUUUCCGCAUUGUUUUAAAAGCAAACAUUCUAUUCUGCAUGCUACAACUACUUUUCAUACUUUACUCUUUUCUGUGUUUGCAUCGCGAGAAAAUUGCGCAAAAACUACACCAUUAUCAUGAAGUCCUUCUUAUACUGGAACAACUAGAACAUGAAGCACCUCAACCCGACAACCGUACUCUAGUACCUCGAACCCCACACACAGGACGAAAACUUUUUCAUUAUGGCAUCGAUCAAUAGAGGUUAUUCAGGACGUUUCGAAGCACUAAAAAUUCAAUUUUCAAAAUGGGAACCAAUAGUUGAAUGCUUCUGUAGAUUGUGGAUUAUUACUAUGAUCCGUUCAGCUAUUGUCUUGCUCUAUGCUCAUACAGUCUUUGAUGUGGAUGUACUUCGAUUCGUUUUUGUGCACUGUGUUUUUUUGACAGUGUUUAAUUGUAGUUACGUGAAAUAUGGUUUCCCAAAAGUAAUUUUAACACUGGACUUAGUAUUAAGUAUAUUUGGUGCCUGGUCCAUAAUGGAUUUUAUAAGAAUAGUAGUGUACGCCCGUCAGCACGAUUGGUACGCAGUAAUGUAUGUGCCUUUCCCUUAUGUACAUCUAGAAAGAAGAUAAGGAUUUGUUCUCGCUAAUCAUAGACGAAACGAAACCUUUUCUUAAAAAAUGGGAGACACCAGCAAAAGUUUUCUGUUACACGUGGUCUAUUAGUUUAAUAGUUUUAGGGUUGUUCAUUUUCUUUGGCAACCCACGCUAUCCGUUUAUGAAAAGUCUAUUCUUUUUCGGCAAUGGCUCUAAUUUGCUAUUUCUUAAUUUUCUUUUUCACGAAUGUGGGGUUGUACAUUAUCUUAUUACCGUGAAUAUAACAUACAGUGUUUUCAUCGGAAUUUUUAUUUUCCAAAGUUGUGCUACUUUGAUAUUCGUAUUACUCAGGCGAAAUGAGCAACGUCAGCAUCAGCGUCAGCCUCAGCAAUAUCAACGUGUUCCUCCAGAACCUUUAGGGCGAGAAGUUUUUAGACGAAGAAGACGCCAUUAGAUAUAGCUCAAAUUUGGUCAAUGUUAAAACUAGACGAUCAUUUGAAAUGAAAUGAAUGAAUGAAUGUUUCUGUUGCCUUAUCGUCUGUUUGCCAGAAGCGUCUGCACUAUCGUUAAUGUUGAAUGGGUUCCACAUAAAGUGUCAUUUGUCUUGAUCGCUUGUCCAUUUUUGUGUUUCAGCUUCUGUAACAAUAGAGAGAAUUUGAUGUAAAUUCGCUAACUCCAUACUAAAUUAUAUUGCAUGUUAAUUCAUUUGAAUUGAGUCUGACUACAUAUGUAAGGGUACUUAAUACUUUUAGAUCGCUACAUAUUUUAUUAUUUAUUAGUCUUGCUUUCGCGAAAAACUAUUGAUCCCGUAUUUGAGACGUAAACGGAAUCAAUAGAAUUCAAAUUGCUGCUGGAUUACUUGAAUAAAAAAAGCGAGAUAUUUUUACAAAUUUGGCAAAUGUGCCAUAACAAGACAGUUACAUUUUUCUGUCGAUUUCUUAAUAUUGAGAAAACAACAGUACCUACGGCUAUUUGAUGGCAAUGCAAUUCAUAGACUUUUCAAAUUUAAUUGAGCCAGCGUAUUCUAGUACUGUGGCUCUGUGCAGCGGUCGUUUUUGUACUUCUUUGGUUAAGCUACAAGUUCAUUCCAAAUUUGCCCAUUUGGUCUGUGCCAAAAAUAUACAAAGUGUUCAUCAUAAGCAUAUCUGAAAUUGUUCAACAUCGGCUACUAUUCUUGUAUACAUACUUGCGAACUAGUCAGCAGCUUGGUGUAUUGCUAGCGUUUUAUAUUUCUGUUUUUUCAUUAUUGACUGCAAUAGUAUAUUUAUUUGCCUUAUAUAACUCAUAACGUCAGACAAUAUCAAAUCAUUCUUAGCCAAAAAGUUUUUAUAUUUAAGUGUUUGUCAUGAUUUUCCAUCAGUUUAAUAGCUCCUUCUAAGGUUUACAGUUUUUUCAUAUUACCUACUGUUGUUUGUUAUAUAAUUGAAAGAAUGUAAAUGCGGAGUUAUUGUGUUUGAAAAUAUAUUUUACCUCUAUUA
rnacentral:misc_RNA from 1 species